rnacentral:rRNA from 1 species
UGGGGAAUAUUGGACAAUGGGGGGCAACCCUGAUCCAGCCAUGCCGCGUGAGUGAUGAAGGCCUUCGGGUUGUAAAGCUCUUUUGGCGGGGACGAUGAUGACGGUACCCGCAGAAUAAGCCCCGGCUAACUUCGUGCCAGCAGCCGCGGUAAGACGAAGGGGGCUAGCGUUGUUCGGAAUUACUGGGCGUAAAGCGAGUGUAGGCGGUUGCCGUAGUCAGGUGUGAAAGCCUUGAGCUCAACUCAAGAAAUGCACUUGAUACUGGGUGACUAGAGGACCGGAGAGGAUAGUGGAAUUCCCAGUGUAGUGGUGAAAUACGUAGAGAUUGGGAAGAACACCAGUGGCGAAGGCGGCUAUCUGGACGGUUACUGACGCUAAGACUCGAAAGCGUGGGGAGCAAACAGGAUUAGAUACCCUGGUAGUCCACGCCGUAAACGAUGGGUGCUAGACGUUGGCGAGCUUGCUCGUCAGUGUCGCAGCUAACGCGUUAAG